GUAAGGAUGGCCGAGCGGUCUAAGUCGAUGCGUUCAGGUCGCAGUCUCCUCUGGAGGCGUGGGUUCGAAUCCCACUCCUGACA
rnacentral:tRNA from 1 species